AGAGUUUGAUCCUGGCUCAGGAUGAACGCUAGCUACAGGCUUAACACAUGCAAGUCGAGGGGCAUCAGGAAGAAAGCUUGCUUUCUUUGCUGGCGACCGGCGCACGGGUGAGUAACACGUAUCCAACCUGCCCUUUACUCGGGGAUAGCCUUUCGAAAGAAAGAUUAAUACCCGAUGGGAUAAUUAUUCCGCAUGGUUUGAUUAUUAAAGGAUUCCGGUAAAGGAUGGGGAUGCGUUCCAUUAGGUUGUUGGUGAGGUAACGGCUCACCAAGCCUUCGAUGGAUAGGGGUUCUGAGAGGAAGGUCCCCCACAUUGGAACUGAGACACGGUCCAAACUCCUACGGGAGGCAGCAGUGAGGAAUAUUGGUCAAUGGGCGCUAGCCUGAACCAGCCAAGUAGCGUGAAGGAUGAAGGCUCUAUGGGUCGUAAACUUCUUUUAUAUAAGAAUAAAGUGCAGUAUGUAUACUGUUUUGUAUGUAUUAUAUGAAUAAGGAUCGGCUAACUCCGUGCCAGCAGCCGCGGUAAUACGGAGGAUCCGAGCGUUAUCCGGAUUUAUUGGGUUUAAAGGGAGCGUAGGUGGACUGGUAAGUCAGUUGUGAAAGUUUGCGGCUCAACCGUAAAAUUGCAGUUGAUACUGUCAGUCUUGAGUACAGUAGAGGUGGGCGGAAUUCGUGGUGUAGCGGUGAAAUGCUUAGAUAUCACGAAGAACUCCGAUUGCGAAGGCAGCUCACUGGACUGCAACUGACACUGAUGCUCGAAAGUGUGGGUAUCAAACAGGAUUAGAUACCCUGGUAGUCCACACAGUAAACGAUGAAU
rnacentral:rRNA from 1 species